UUAACGCUGGCGGCGUGCCUAAUACAUGCAAGUCGAACGGAAGUUUGAGCAAUUAAACUUUAGUGGCGAACGGGUGAGUAACGCGUAAGCAAUCUGCCCCUAAGACGAGGAUAACAGUUGGAAACGACUGCUAAGACUGGAUAGGAGACAAGAAGGCAUCUUCUUGUUUUUAAAAGACCUAGCAAUAGGUAUGCUUAGGGAGGAGCUUGCGUCACAUUAGUUAGUUGGUGGGGUAAAGGCCUACCAAGACUAUGAUGUGUAGCCGGGCUGAGAGGUUGAACGGCCACAGUGGGACUGAGACACGGCCCAAACUGCUACGGGAGGCAGCAGUAGGGAAUUUUCGGCAAUGGAGGAAACUCUGACCGAGCAACGCCGCGUGAACGAUGAAGUAUUUCGGUACGUAAAGUUCUUUUAUUAGGGAAGAAUAAAUGAUGGAAAAAUCAUUCUGACGGUACCUAAUGAAUAAGCCCCGGCUAACUAUGUGCCAGCAGCCGCGGUAAUACAUAGGGGGCAAGCGUUAUCCGGAAUUAUUGGGCGUAAAGGGUGCGUAGGCGGUUAAAUAAGUUUAUGGUCUAAGUGCAAUGCUCAACAUUGUGAUGCUAUAAAAACUGUUUAGCUAGAGUAAAGAUAGAGGCAAGUGGAAUUCCAUGUGUAGUGGUAAAAUGCGUAAAUAUAUGGAGGAACACCAGUAGCGAAGGCGGCUUGCUGGGUCUUUACUGACGCUGAGGCACGAAAGCGUGGGGAGCAAACAGGAUUAGAUACCCUGGUAGUCCACGCCGUAAACGAUGAGUACUAAACGUUGGGUAAAACCAGUGUUGAAGUUAACACAUUAAGUACUCCGCCUGAGUAGUACGUACGCAAGUAUGAAACUUAAAGGAAUUGACGGGACUCCGCACAAGCGGUGGAUCAUGUUGUUUAAUUCGAAGGUACCCGAAAAACCUCACCAGGUCUUGACAUGCUUCUGCAAAGCUGUAGAAACACAGUGGAGGUUAUCAGUUGCACAGGUGGUGCAUGGUUGUCGUCAGCUCGUGUCGUGAGAUGUUGGGUUAAGUCCCGCAACGAGCGCAACCCUUAUUGUUAGUUACCAGCACGUAAUGGUGGGGACUUUAGCAAGACUGCCAGUGAUAAAUUGGAGGAAGGUGGGGACGACGUCAAAUCAUCAUGCCCCUUAUGACCUGGGCUACAAACGUGAUACAAUGGCUGUUACAAAGGGUAGCUGAAGCGCAAGUUUUUGGCGAAUCUCAAAAAAACAGUCUCAGUUCGGAUUGAAGUCUGCAACUCGACUUCAUGAAGUUGGAAUCGCUAGUAAUCGCGAAUCAGCAUGUCGCGGUGAAUACGUUCUCGGGGUUUG
rnacentral:rRNA from 1 species